GCAGUCGACGCUUCUUUCCUCCCGAGUGCUUGCACUCAAUUGGAAAGAGGAGUGGCGGACGGGUGAGUAACACGUGGGUAACCUACCCAUCAGAGGGGGAUAACGCUUGGAAACAGGUGCUAAUACCGCAUAACAGUUUAUGCCGCAUGGCAUAAGAGUGAAAGGCGCUUUCGGGUGUCGCUGAUGGAUGGACCCGCGGUGCAUUAGCUAGUUGGUGAGGUAACGGCUCACCAAGGCCACGAUGCAUAGCCGACCUGAGAGGGUGAUCGGCCACACUGGGACUGAGACACGGCCCAGACUCCUACGGGAGGCAGCAGUAGGGAAUCUUCGGCAAUGGACGAAAGUCUGACCGAGCAACGCCGCGUGAGUGAAGAAGGUUUUCGGAUCGUAAAACUCUGUUGUUAGAGAAGAACAAGGACGUUAGUAACUGAACGUCCCCUGACGGUAUCUAACCAGAAAGCCACGGCUAACUACGUGCCAGCAGCCGCGGUAAUACGUAGGUGGCAAGCGUUGUCCGGAUUUAUUGGGCGUAAAGCGAGCGCAGGCGGUUUCUUAAGUCUGAUGUGAAAGCCCCCGGCUCAACCGGGGAGGGUCAUUGGAAACUGGGAGACUUGAGUGCAGAAGAGGAGAGUGGAAUUCCAUGUGUAGCGGUGAAAUGCGUAGAUAUAUGGAGGAACACCAGUGGCGAAGGCGGCUCUCUGGUCUGUAACUGACGCUGAGACUCGAAAGCGU
rnacentral:rRNA from 1 species